rnacentral:rRNA from 1 species
GACGUAGGGGGGCCAGCGUUGUUCGGAAUUACUGGGUGUAAAGGGUUCGUAGGCGGUGUGGCAAGUCGGGAGUGAAAUUUCUGGGCUCAACUCAGAGACUGCUUCCGAAACUGCUGUGCUUGAGUGUGGGAGAGGCGCGUGGAAUUGCAGGUGUAGCGGUGAAAUGCGUAGAUAUCUGCAGGAACACCCGUGGCGAAAGCGGCGCGCUGGACCACUACUGACGCUGAGGAACGAAAGCUAGGGGAGCAAACAGG